ensembl:snoRNA
CUUCCCAUUUAUUUGCUGCUAUCAUCUCUCCGUGAUAUGAGCAGUUAUACGCAUGGGAUACAAUAUUGUUGGGCCAUUGUCGACUGAGAUGAAGUAACUAUGUCAUCUCUUCUGCAUGGCCUGGACACUG